rnacentral:rRNA from 1 species
AGUGAACGCUGGCGGUAGGCCUAACACAUGCAAGUCGAACGGCAGCACAGUAAGAGCUUGCUCUUACGGGUGGCGAGUGGCGGACGGGUGAGGAAUACAUCGGAAUCUACUUUUUCGUGGGGGAUAACGUAGGGAAACUUACGCUAAUACCUCAUACGACCUACGGGUGAAAGCAGGGGAUCUUCGGACCUUGCGCGACUGAAUGAGCCGAUGUCGGAUUAGCUAGUUGGCGGGGUAAAGGCCCACCAAGGCGACGAUCCGUAGCUGGUCUGAGAGGAUGAUCAGCCACACUGGAACUGAGACACGGUCCAGACUCCUACGGGAGGCAGCAGUGGGGAAUAUUGGACAAUGGGCGCAAGCCUGAUCCAGCCAUACCGCGUGGGUGAAGAAGGCCUUCGGGUUGUAAAGCCCUUUUGUUGGGAAAGAAAAGAAGCAGGUUAAUACCCCGCUGUUCUGACGGUACCCAAAGAAUAAGCACCGGCUAACUUCGUG